rnacentral:rRNA from 1 species
UACGUAGGGGGCUAGCGUUGUCCGGAAUCAUUGGGCGUAAAGAGCGUGUAGGCGGCUUGGCAAGUCUGGUGUGAAAUCUUGCGGCUCAACCGCAAGCGGUCACUGGAAACUGCCUCGCUAGAGUCCGGAAGAGGAGAGCGGAAUUCCUGGUGUAGCGGUGGAAUGCGCAGAUAUCAGGAAGAACACCCGUGGCGAAGGCGGCUCUCUGGGACGGUACUGACGCUGAGACGCGAAAGCGUGGGGAGCGAACAGG